GCUCCAGCACAGCAGCCUGAAGAGGUGCAGCAGGUGCAGCCCCCGCAGGAGGAUGCAGGCCAGGAGCGGACAGAAGAGCAGCUCCGUGCCCGUGGCCGCUUCCGCAGGGCAGCACAGCUGGUUUGCAGAUUCAUCAGGUGCAUGAAGAG